UACGAAGGGGGCGAGCGUUGUUCGGAAUUACUGGGCGUAAAGGGCGCGUAGGCGGCGACCCAAGUCAGAUGUGAAAGUCCUGGGCUUAACCUGGGGACUGCAUUUGAUACUGGGUUGCUUGAAUUCGGGAGAGGAUAGCGGAAUUCCCAGUGUAGAGGUGAAAUUCGUAGAUAUUGGGAAGAACACCGGUGGCGAAGGCGGCUAUCUGGACCGACAUUGACGCUGAGGCGCGAAAAGCGUGGGGGAGCAAACAGGG
rnacentral:rRNA from 1 species